rnacentral:rRNA from 1 species
UACGGAGGGGGCUAGCGUUGUUCGGAAUUACUGGGCGUAAAGCGCACGUAGGCGGACCAGUCAGUUGGGGGUGAAAUCCCGGGGCUCAACCCCGGAACUGCCUCCAAAACUGCUGGUCUGGAGGUCGAGAGAGGCGAGUGGAAUUCCGAGUGUAGAGGUGAAAUUCGUAGAUAUUCGGAGGAACACCAGUGGCGAAGGCGGCUCGCUGGCUCGAUACUGACGCUGAGGUGCGAAAGCGUGGGGAGCAAAC